rnacentral:rRNA from 1 species
CAGGACGAACGCUGGCGGCGUGCCUAACACAUGCAAGUCGAGCGAGGAGAUCCUUCGGGAUGAUCCUAGCGGCGGACGGGUGAGUAACACGUGGGCAACCUGCCUCAUAGAGAGGAAUAGCCUUCCGAAAGGGAGAUUAAUACCUCAUAACAUUGCAGUUUCGCAUGGUACAGCAAUUAAAGGAGUAAUCCGCUAUGAGAUGGGCCCGCGGCGCAUUAGCUAGUUGGUGAGGUAACGGCUCACCAAGGCGACGAUGCGUAGCCGACCUGAGAGGGUGAUCGGCCACAUUGGGACUGAGACACGGCCCAGACUCCUACGGGAGGCAGCAGUGGGGAAUAUUGCACAAUGGGGGAAACCCUGAUGCAGCAACGCCGCGUGAGUGAUGACGGCCUUCGGGUUGUAAAGCUCUGUCUUCAGGGACGAUAAUGACGGUACCUGAGGAGGAAGCCACGGCUAACUACGUGCCAGCAGCAGC